AGACAAUGGCAGGAUGAAUUUGUGUUUUUACAAUAAAAUUCCUUAUUCCAUAAUAAGAAAGAUUAAAUUCCUGAUAUACUUUUGAUGGAAAAGCGCCAUGGUUCAAUUAACAUUUCUGUGCAGGGCAUUGAUGGAAGCCAAAUAAAAGCUGCAUUAAUACUGACUAACCACUAGAGGUAGAGCUACGUACAAGCCUAUAAGUAAUUACUUCCUGUUGCUCAGAUCAUUACAAGUGUGUGCAUCAACACAUCAGCACAAUAAACAGAAGAGGAAGGGAGUUGAAAUGGAAACUUUCACAGUGUCAUGGUUCUAAAAAUAGAAGCACAGUGACAGGAGGAGACAAAACCUUUGUCGUGCAUUGAUGAUAAAACAGAAGUUGUGAAUUUGUGGAUUGAAUAAUUGAUGUUAUUUAUACCUGCUAACAUGUAAUGUACUCAAAACUACAGGUUUUAAAUAUUUGGAGCUUUCUUGUGUGCGUGCUUAUAAAAUAACUACUGACAUCCAAAGCAGUGAAGUGUAGAGGAAAUAUAGGUACCUACCACUACAUCUGCUCACACAGUCAAAAGUCAGACUUUCAACAGGUAAGCAAUAGGCAUUAAGCAGGAAUGCCAGCUAUGUGUAAUAUGUCAUCUAUCCAGAUAUGCCACGCUGUCUGUGUUUAGCUCUGGUGUUUAUCUGGAGUCCAGGCCUGGAAGCCUACUGUGUGUCUGACUGUGUACACUGGCACUUGGGAGACAUUAUAGGCUGGUGCCACUGCUUCCACUGCGCCUCGGGGAACUCAUUAGGGCCGAUGAGUAAUAUAAGUAUUUCAAAGUGGGCCAAAAAAGCUUUUUGCCUGUAGCCACGCCAUUCGAGAACAUUUCAUGUCUGUGAUUUUGUAACCAUGGUAAUGGGCAACACUUUGGGAUUGGUCUGAAUAAAGUUAAAAAUGUUAAGAUUUUUAGAUGCUGAAAAAAAACCCCAACAACUGCUAUAUAAAAUACUAAAUGUUGCUACCUUGCACCAUCUUUUUUUACAGGUCGAGGGACUUUCUUCAGCUGGUUUGUUUGCGCUCUAUUUAAAGCCUUAAUUUACAUAGUGGCGAAGCAAAGGGUGCAACUAUUAAAACAUACGUAAAAUGAAAUCAUAAGCCAGUUCACCCACACAACAGCAUCUGUGAGCAGAUAACAGGCAGUGAACGGCUCACCACAAAAUUUGCUAAAAAAAAAUAAAUAAAAAAAGUAACUGUUGCGAGGUGGUGGCGUGCUCUUAUUUAAGACUAGCUCACAAGAGCUACAAACAAAAUUUUAAAGAAUCUGGGAGAGAAAAUAUUAUUUCUAAUUGACAUCAUGAAGUAGCAACCACAACUGCAGUUAAGUAUUUAAAUGAACUAAUUGAGCAAUUAGACAGAAAUGCUUCAACAAACCAAUCUCUGUCUUUUUCUUGUUUCUCUGUCUCUGCGGCUGCCUUUCUAUCUGAUCAUUUGCAGAUGUGAGCAACAGAGCAACAGCCCGUUACAGCAGCUCAACACUGAGAACAUUUUAUAGCCAGGGCAGCAUCUGAGAGUUGCAAAACUGAAGGAGCAGCCAAACUGGGUGCUCUGCUGUCGUCACAACAUCAGUGUCCCUGUUUAUUUUAGUCUGUAGUGGAAUUCCCUCUGACACCUAAUGCCUUAAAGAAACUUUCAUCUCCCCAGCGGUGCCACAGGAUUUUUCCUGAGCAUAAAACGAGCUUAGAGAAGCAGCAGGAGUGCCACAUCGGGGCAACAUACAGUGGGGCUUUACUGAACCUAAUGAAGGGUUGGCACGGACUGGCUAUUUGAGGCUGGCUAAGGGAACACUCAGGCUAGUCUCUUCAAUAGCACUCGAUGGGAUGCGAAGCCACUUGGAGAGAGACGUGCUGUCCUCCAGGCUGAGGUAUAUGCACACGAAACACAAGACGAACUCGGGUGUUUUUCCGGCCGACGUCCGUCUCACCCUUCCUCAGCUCGAUGUCAGCGUUCCUGAGCUUCAGGAUCCCAGCACAGUCGAUUCUAUGAUAAAGAAUUCAUAUGGGGAUCUCAAGCACUUUGGUGCCGUUAAUAAUCUUCUCAAAGCUGGUGGUCGUAACCGUCUUGCCAGUGAUGCGGUGGACUUGAUAAAAGGCAUGGGGCUUGAGGAUGCGCUCGUCUGCUGUACCGAUGAAGAUCUGC